rnacentral:lncRNA from 1 species
AUGAGAGGUGUGGCGGCCAUUGCUGCCCUUCAUUGUGAGCUGGCGCCUGCAGUACGAGCAGAACUGCCAGACCAGACACUGAUGUGGGUUGACACUGCAUCCAGGAGUCAAAGCCUGACUCCACAAGACGUGUCAAAAGGUGCCAGCGAAUCUCUCCCUCGUGUUUUCAACUCCCUGCUCAUGUUCAAGGUCAUGGUUACAGUACACAGCUCACUUUGUCAUACUUCUCACAUGUUAACAGAGUACGUUAACAGAGUUUCCGUGACGUGCUGAGGUACUUUCUAAAUAAACACCUUGAUAAAUACGGUUUGUAGGUCUGACCUUAAUCAUGUGAUGCGCGUAUCACACCUCUUGCAGAGUGGGAAGAAGGACAACUGUCCUACGUUUGCCUGCUCCAGCACUCGGGCAUGAAAGGGGCACAUGGAGAACCCGGGGCGAUGGAGUAGAACACAGCACAUAGAACACAACACCUUGUCAGGCAAGACAGCAACAGACAGAUGACUUGGCUUCAGCUGACGGAGACUGGCAACCGGGCAAAGACAGUACUACUGGCUCUUCACUAACUAAUGCUGCAUCAAAAUAAAACAUAAAACAGUAGCCCAGCCAGGGGAGACUAGAUACACUUGAUUCCAGCCAACCUGCCUCUGAGGUAGCCAGCUGCGAUGCCUCAGGGUUUUUCACUUGUUGUUAUUUAUAAAACAAAAAAUAAGACAUUAUGGCUAGUUUCUUUACCAUUUUCCAUUUUUCUACUCCUCAAAAAAAAUCAGUUCACUGAAGUCUAAAAGUAAACCCAACAGAAAUAAAUUAAAAUGUUGCCACUACUUGAGUUUCUGGGAGUAUGACAGCUCUCUCCACUCCAGGCACUGAGAGGCCAUUUUAAUCUGAACGCUGGAAUCUGGCAACCGGUCCUUAGCACCUGCGUCCGUCCAGCCAGUCCGACUGGCUUUUGUUCCGGUUCGACCCCCUAACUUUUACCCCUUAAUUAACCCAACAGAAACUAAUUAAACCGGGCUCUCCUGGCCCAAGAGCCAAACAAAGAGAGAAAGAAAAAGAGAUAAGAGCAGAGCGGUGGGAGAGAAUAGGGGGGAUCUAGGAGCCAAACUGACAGUCAGGAGUGGAGAUGCAGAAGCAGUGGUCCCUGCUGAGGCCCUCGAACCCCGGGCCCCUGAGACUGCCUGGAGACAGACACAGAGCGAGGGCUUUAGUGUAUUGUUUUCUGGGGGAAACCGAAAGGCUGUUUCAUGAUUGGCCUGGACUGGAAAGAGGGACGGAGGGAAAAGGGGCCUAAAAAACGAUCGAAAACGGAGAAGAGAGUGAGAACGAGGCAGCGGUGGAGAGAGGUGUUCGGAGUUUGAGCGUAGGGGCUCCCUUCGGGAGAGGCGAGGUGAAGCCAGGGGCGGGGGGGGGCGGGGGGGGGGGGGGGGGGGGUUAAUGCACUUGGCAGUGGCUGGUGCAUACAGGCGAAGGAGGCAGGCUCUCCCUGGAAGCUUUGUGUGAAACUCAUUGUUUUUAGUUACUGUGUUCUGAGUCGCUCGUCGAGCGGUUUGUGGAGAGGCUAAUUUUGGCCAGCCCAUUCAGCAGGCAGCAGUGUACGAUUGGCCUCUUUGGAGCCUGUGAUUGUUUUGUUCGGGGGGGGGGGGGGGGGGGGGGGGGGCACACUGCAUUCCCUCCACCAACCUAACCCCUACAUUGUGCAGUCAGAAUAUGACACAGCCUUUGCCAGACAGGGAGAGGCAAAAUGAAUGAGCUAAAAAGGAAGAAAGAAAGAUGGAGAGAUUGAGUGACAGAGGCAGAUCGAUAUAGCUGGUGGUGAGGACUAGCUAUGGGAUUGCUCUUUUAGCCCAGUCUCAACCUGCUAAGUGAUAGAGAAGGUAAUUAAGAGCAGGCUGUUGAAGUAGGUAGGCCUGGAAAGGAGAUUUAAAGAGGGGAACUGAUUGUGCAUGUCUGAUUCCAGCUCUUCAGAGAGUUCUCAGCCCCAGGGCUUAUAGCUUUCAAAGGGCGUGUUCUCAGUUUCCCUCUCUCUCAUCGCUUUCUCUCCUUCUGUCUCUCUUUUCUAAAUGAAACCCACUUUAUUCAUACUCAUUACACUAAAAUAUGACACCCACAGACAGAGGACUGUCAGGGUUUCUGAGAUAGGAAACAGGGCCGCAGGGCACUCAGACACUUAGUCCUCUUUAAUGCAAUGGACUCUUGUAAGGAAAUCAAUUUACAGGGGCAAAUAAAGUUAAGUGUGACUGAGGGACAUGUGCGUUGGGGGAGUUCGUCAAAUAGUCUUUCCCCGGUGACACACCGCAGCUUUAUCAUGUCCUCGCUUCUCUCCGCAGUGCCGGUGUCACAGCCAAUCUGUGUUGACCUUUAUCAGUGGGGGUUGUGAGCUCUCUUUAACUAUGAUAGGAAAAUGUGCUGGGAUUUCCACAAAGGCUCCUGGCUUCUCACUGUGUAUCAUGGCUGUCCAUUGUGACUGAGGAUUUGUAGAUCUGGGCUGGGACUCAUAGUACCAUCCUCUUUUCCCAAAACACUGGAGGAAACGCUGAGCAUGGGAACAAAUCCUGGAUAGAGGGCUUCAGGGAAGACUUGUUAAAAGUUACAGGGCAACACUGCCCCCUGUCUGUUUUAGGAGAACCCUGCACGAUCCGUGUUUUCUUUGCGCGCCCAUCAGAGGGUCAACUCGGUCUAAUUGCCAGUCAAUUCCAGGGUAGAAUUGCUUUCCUGUGGAGAAUUCCAUGUCCAAUUCAUCUGACAGGAAUUUAAGUUAAUGGGCUGGAAAUCUAGUGUGUGUUUGUGUAUGUGUGUGUGUGUGCGUGUGGUUGAGUGUCUCUGUGUGGGUUUCAUCAACCUUAUCCAGCCUCUCCAGUGCAUCUAAUCCCCUCCACCUGCUCAAACACCCAAACAGUGCAGGCUGCUACCCACACCCACACACCCACAUACACACACUUACCCCCCUCCGGAUGGAGUCUCGUUCCCAGUUACCCCCUUAUCGCCCAAAGCUGAGGGACCCCCCCCCCCCCCGGUGCCCCGUUGGGCACUGCCACCCCCUCACCGGGUUCCAGCUGGAGUGUAUGUACCCCCUGCCUUGUACCCACCAGCAUCGCUGGCCUACACUCCCUCGCCUGAAGUUACCCCCCCCCACCCCGUCUGCUGACUAGCAUUGCCAAGGGCUGUCACAGUGUUAGGGGUCAAGCAGUGUUGUAUGCUCCCACAACCACUGUGUGUCCAUUAAAAUAAUAUUUAUGGGGUUUGACUGUAUAAAUCACUUGAAGCUGAAACAGAGUGUAACACUUUCUUUUCUUUGUAUCCUACAUGUUAUUAUUCAAUAGUCAGUCCCUCUGCAAAUUGUUGGGAUGUGCAUCAAAUUAUACCUUCCUCAUGAAAAUAACAUUGCAAAUAGUUGUGAUUAGGUUUGACAUGCUCUGUUAGCAGAGUUACGUUUUCAUUAAGUUUCAACAUUAAUCAAAACUCAGACCCCCUUCAAGGGAGACCUGGCCAAUGUAAAAUAGUACUGUUCUCGUUCCCUUACAUAAUUAACAUCACUUUUCCUUCAGUACUGAAAAUUACUUAGAAAUUGUUAGUUAAAUACAUCGCACGCACCUGCAGCACCCUCUACUGGCAAGAAAGUAAAUGAGCCCUACUUGCAGUCAUUCUUGCGUUCAUGAACUUCACAUCAGUGUGCAAGGGACUGUAUUUCUUAAAACCUCCAAAUAUAUAAUUUUUUAUGGUCACUAUUUAAUAAAUGAAGAAUUUCCAUCGUCCUUAUACUUUCAAAAGCUUUGGAGAACACUGAAAUUCCUGAAGCCGAGGGCUCUAUUUAUACCAAAUACAAAAUAUGAUUCGUGCAAAGUAAGAUUAAAAAUAAAUUGUGAGUUUUGUUGACGCCCCAGACGCUUUGUGUAAAGUGUUUUGUGAACCGGGCAUUGAUUAUGAUUCCCAUGACUGUCGUAAAGCGCAACCUUCUUUCAGCUGCAAUAGCGUUUGCUGCGACAGCGCUUUCCGGCAGCUGGGACACCGAGGAGAAAGCAACGACAGGCGUCGGAAGAGAAGUAGAAUUUUUUUUAAAGAAAACCCUCGGAUUUACACAAUAAUAGCUCAAGGGAAUUUGUCUUCGUUUAUAACCUUCUAGCUCUUGUGGAUGAAAGUAUAUUUAUCUUUUUUUUUAAACGUGAUU